GCUGGCGUAGCUCAGUCGGCAGAGCAGCCGCCUUGUAAGCGGCAGGUCGUGGGUUCGAUUCCCUCCGCCAGCU
rnacentral:tRNA from 3 species